UACGUAGGGGGCAAGCGUUGUCCGGAAUUAUUGGGCGUAAAGCGCGCGCAGGCGGUUUAUUAAGUUCGGUGUUUAAGCCCAGGGCUCAACCCUGGUUCGCACUGGAAACUGGUAGACUAGAGUGUAGGAGAGGAAAGUGGAAUUCCACGUGUAGCGGUGAAAUGCGUAGAGAUGUGGAGGAACACCGGUGGCGAAGGCGGCUUUCUGGACAGAAACUGACGCUGAUGCGCGAAAGCUAGGGGAGCAAACAGG
rnacentral:rRNA from 1 species